rnacentral:rRNA from 1 species
CCUACGGGUGGGCAGCAGUGGGGAAUAUUGGGCAAUGGGCGCAAGCCUGACCCAGCAACGCCGCGUGAAGGAAGAAGGCCUUCGGGUUGUAAACUUCUUUUAUGAGGGACGAAAGAAAUGACGGUACCUCAGUCAUAAGCCACGGCUAACUACGUGCUCGCAGCCGCGGUAAUACGGAGGUGGCAAGCUUUAUCCGGAUUUACCGGGUGUAAGGGGCGUGUAGGUGGGAGGGUAAGUCAGAGGUGAAAAUUGUUGGCUCAACCCAGAACCUGCAUUUGAAACUGUAGUGCUUGAGAGAUGGAGCGGCAGGCGGAAUGCAGGGUGUAGCGGUGAAAUGCUUAGAGAU